GAUAAAACCAAACGCACAUCGAUUUUUGUUCCAGCUCUAUUUCGUGGAACCUUUGCGUGAUUUGCUAUACGAAAUUACUCAAGAAAAGGAUUCCCUAAACGCAAGGCCGUACCCAGUGUGACGUAACGAAACGGAGAGACCAAUCCCAGGUGUUACCACGCAGGACUUGUUACUUCUAGCCUAAAGGAACCAACCAGGAAGAACCGAAAUCGGAAGGAACAGUAGUAGAGUUGGUCUUAAAUAGGAUAACCAGCCACCCAUAACCCAUAACUUGUCUCUGUGUGCGUACGCGUGUGUGUGUUAGAUUUGUGUGCGUUUCGUCGAUUGUCCCCAAGGAUCAU